UGGAACACCUGUCCCGGUCACCGCAGUGGUGCAGAAGACGUGCCGACGUGCCAGCCCAGAGGCGGGGGCGGACGCGGGGCUACUUUGGUGGACACUGUAGAAGACUUUAAGGACAGUGAACGCAUGCCAGGCGACUGCUCUGGUGUGGAACUGUUGAUUGAUAAGGAGCAUGGUGGCCGCCGAGCUGGCGAUGGGGAUGAUAUUUGUGGCCGUCUGCGUCUCGAUCCCUCCGUGCCUGCUGAUAUUCAGCUCCAGCAUUGAGCGCCUGUUUGUGCUGAGGAACAAGUUUAGUCCGGCAGAGGUGGACACAGAAACAGAGCCCGAGUCCAGCUCAGACGACAGCGACAGCGAUAAAAGUGAUGGCCAGGAUCGGGAGUCGAACCCGAGGCGGCGCCACAGCGGCGGUACGCACAGACCGCGAACGGGUGACACUCGCUGAGUUCGGAAAACGUUCUUGUGCGUUGAUCAAAGGGUGUGGUCAAGCAGUUAACAAUAUCAUCUAGCUUGUUCUUAGUUUGCCUGACAGAUGAUGUAACCAAGUUUGUAAUGUGUGUUUCAUUGCUGCAAUAUUAAGUGAAUAAUCUU